CAAUAGCGUAUAUUAAAGUUGUUGCGGUUAAAAAGCUCGUAGUUGGAUUUCUGUCGGAGACGCGCGGUCCGCACUAUGUGCGUGUAUCUGUGUCGGCUCUGGCAUCCUCCUGGGGAACGGUGCUGCGCUUGAUUGCGUGGUCCGGUAUUCAGGACUUUUACUUUGAGGAAAUUAGAGUGUUUACGGCAGGCAAGCGCCUUGAAUAUAUUAGCAUGGAAUAAUAACAUAGGAUCUUCGUCCUAUUUUGUUGGUUUCUAGGGCUAAGAUAAUGAUUAAUAGGGAUAAUUGGGGGCAUCUGUAUCAACGCGUCAGAGGUGGAAUUCUUGGAUUGCGUUGCGACAAACUACUGCGAAAGCAUUUGCCAAGGAUGUUUUCAUUGA
rnacentral:rRNA from 1 species